rnacentral:rRNA from 1 species
GACAGCAGUAGCCGCGGGAAUACGAAGGGUGCAAGCGUUAAUCGGAAUUACUGGGCGUAAAGCGUGCGCAGGCGGUUCGUUAAGACAGAUGUGAAAUCCCCGGGCUUAACCUGGGAACUGCAUUUGUGACUGGCGAGCUAGAGUAUGGCAGAGGGGGGUAGAAUUCCACGUGUAGCAGUGAAAUGCGUAGAGAUGUGGAGGAAUACCGAUGGCGAAGGCAGCCCCCUGGGCCAAUACUGACGCUCAUGCACGAAAGCGUGGGGAGCAAACAGGAUUAGAUACCCGCGUAGUCCCUGUCUCUUAUAC